AUUGAACGCUGGCGGCAGGCCUAACACAUGCAAGUCGAACGAGUGGCGGACUGGUGAGUAAUGUCUGGGAAACUGCCCUCUGGAGGGGGAUAACUCCUGGAAACAGUAGCUAAUACCGCCUACCAUCGGAUGUGCCCAGCUGGGAUUAGCUAGUAGGUGGGGUAACGGCUCACCUAGUCGACGAUCCCUAGCUGGUCUGAGAGUGUGACCACGGACACUGUGACGGAGACACAGUCCAUGCUCCAACGGGAGGCAGCAGGGGGGAAUAUUGCACAAUGGGCGCAAGCCUGAUGCAGCCAUGCAGCGUGUAUGAAGAAGGCCUUCGGGUUGUAAAGUACUUUCAGCGAGGAGGCGUUACUCGCAGAAGAAGCACCGGCAAACUCAGUGCCAGCAGCCGCGGUAAUUC
rnacentral:rRNA from 1 species